UAAGGAAUAUUGGUCAAUGGACGCAAGUCUGAACCAGCCAUGCCGCGUGAAGGAUUAAGGUCCUCUGGAUUGUAAACUUCUUUUAUCUGGGACGAAAAAACGGCGAUUCUUCGUCACUUGACGGUACCAGAUGAAUAAGCACCGGCUAACUCCGUGCCAGCAGCCGCGGUAAUACGGAGGGGUGCAAGCGUUAUCCGGAUUCACUGGGUUUAAAGGGUGCGUAGGCGGGCAGGUAAAGUCAGUGGUGAAAUCCUAGAGCUUAACUCUAGAACUGCCAUUGAUACUAUCUGUCUUGAAUAUUGUGGAGGUAAGCGGAAUAUGUCAUGUAGCGGUGAAAUGCUUAGAUAUGACAUAGAACACCUAUUGCGAAGGCAGCUUACUACGCAUAUAUUGACGCUGAGGCACGAAAGCGUGGGGAUCAAACAGGAUUAGAUACCCCUGGUAGUCCACGCCCCUAAACGAUGAUUACUCGACAUUUUGUGAUACACUAUAGGUGUCUGAGCGAAAGCAUUAAGUAAUCCACCUGGGAAGUACGACCGCAAGGUUGAAACUCAAAGGAAUUGACGGGGGUCAUAGCUGUUUCCUG
rnacentral:rRNA from 1 species